rnacentral:rRNA from 1 species
UACAGAGGGUGCGAGCGUUAAUCGGAAUUACUGGGCGUAAAGGGCGCGUAGGUGGUCACUUAAGUCAGAUGUGAAAUCCCUGGGCUUAACCUAGGAAUUGCAUAUGAAACUGAGUGGCUAGAGUAUGGGAGAGGGAAGUGGAAUUUCCGGUGUAGCGGUGAAAUGCGUAGAUAUCGGGAGGAACACCCGUAGCGAAGGCGGCACUCUGGGCCGAUUCUGACACUGAGGAGCGAAAGCGUGGGGAGCGAACAGG